rnacentral:ncRNA from 1 species
UUUAAAUGUAGUUUUAAUAAAAAUUAAUAAAACUUUCUUUAUAUUUUAUAAAAUAAAUUAUAUUUUAAAUAGAAGAAAAAUUUAUAAUUCUAUUUUAAAAUAGAGUAGAAGUUUGAUAAAUGAUUUGGCUAAACUUGUGCCAGCCGCCGCGGUUAUACAAGUAAAUCUUUUUUUAAAAAAUUAAAAAUAAUAAAAAAAUUUUUGUAUUUUAAAAAUUUAUAAAGGUGAAAUUUAUAAUUUUAAAAAAAUUAAUUUGAUUUUAUAAAAAUUUAAUUUUUAAACUAGGAUUAGAUACCCUAUUAUUUUAAGCUAUAUAUUAGGAGUAAAUAAAAUUUAUGAAAUUAAAAAAUUUUGGCGGUAUUUUAAGCUUAUUAGAGGAAUUUGCUCUGUGAUGGACACAACGCCUUAAUCUUACUUAAUUUAGUAAUUUAAAUCAGUUUGUAUACCACUAUAUUAAUUAUAUUGAAUAGUUAUAUUUAAAAUUUUUUUAAAAAAAUAUAUUAAGUCAAGGUGCAUCUAAUAAUUAUGAAUGAAGUGAAUUACAUUAAUUUUAAUGUAAUUUUUUAUAUGAAAAAAUUAAUUAGGAUUUAAUAGUAAAAUACUAAUAUUAUGAGUAUUUGAAUCAAGCUCUAAAAUAUGCACAUAUCGCCCGUCGCUCUCAGAAGUGAGAUAAGUCGUAACAAAGUAAAAAUACUGGAAAGUGUUUUU